AUUUACAAAUCUGUUUAACUUUCUGGAGCCAGUAGAUAUAGAUAUAUAUAUAUAGAUAGAUAGAUAGAUAGAUAGAUAGAUAGAUAUAUAAAAAAUUUCCUGGAUAACCCCUUUAAGCACUGCGGUGUAUUAUGGAGAUAUUCUACCCUAAAAGCAUGUUUCUAAUAUAUAAUAUAACACAAACUCUGACAUGACAAAAAUAUACUGUAUGUCUGUAUGACAUUGGAGAUUCCCAUAGACCUUACGAAGUUGCUUCAGCAAUAAGGCACUUUUACCAGUAUUUUUAGUAUUGUGGAUUUAAAUCCCAUUUUAGUUUGCUGGUUAAUUCUUCAGCCCAUUUUGAGUGCACUUUCAAAGAGGUUGUCCUGCGAAAGAAACAACCUGUAUAUGGUGUCAAAAAGUAUAAUAAAGCAACUUACUAAUAUAUUGGCUUAAGCCAAAGUGCACAGAUCUUUCAUUAUCAGCUUAGCUGUCUGGCUUGUAUCUAUAAUCUCCUGCAAUGCUCUCUGAAAGCUCCUUUCCCUCCUUUCUGCUCAGGACUAGACCAUUGAUGUGAAGAGGGGAGCUCAUAUGACUGCACAUUACAUUAUAAGGCAGCAGGAACCCUUUUUUAAGAUAAGACAGCAGUGAGCCUUUUCUGACUGAAAUUACUGUGACUGAAAAAGGCUUCCUGCUGCCCUAUAAUCUAUUAAGCUCAUCUCUUCACAAAAAUAGGCUGGACCUCGCAGACAGGAGGGGAGGGGGGAGCAAGAAGGGAGUUCUUCAGUUCAGAGAGUGUGACAGGGCAUUACAGCUACACGGGAGAGAGCUGAUAAUGAUCUGUUAAAGAGGUUAUCCAGGUUUUAAUGUUUUACUAUUGUCCAUGUGAUGCAAAGUUAUGUCUUAAGUGCUUUACUUGCCUAAUGGCCUGGAUCGGCCCCUUGUUUGUGAUUUCAUAGUCGUCGGUGAUGCUCAGAAGAUCUUUAAACGCUUUAAAAAUGGAGACCUAUAGGCCUUUCCUACCAAGCACUGUUCUAAAACAUUUUUAUCUGGUUGUAUAAUGUUGCCCAAGCAGCGGAACCACCCAUGUCUCCAGUAGGGAUCGACCGAUAUCGAUUUUUUUUAGGGCCGAUACCGAUACUCUGUGAAGGUUAGGGCCGAUAACUUAUACCGAUAUUCCGGUAUAAGUUAUCGGCUAUAUAUCCCCCCUCCCCCCCGGCGACACCGCUUUAGAUCAUUGAUCUAAAGCGGGCGCUUGAAAUCAAUGAACUGCAGCGGCUUUUGCGGUGCCAGAGACUCCCGCCACCCGCUUCUCUCCCCCUGCCUGUCCUGGGGUCCUCCUUAAUCCUAUCACUGCGACCGCCCACCACCGCACUGUUCUCGCUGCUUCUGGCUCCGGCGACGUCCUCCUGAGCUGUCACUGUGCACUGACGGUGAUUUCGCGUUGAGGACGUCACUCGUCAUUGCGCAGUGCACAGCGUAACACAGGAUGCCGCAGGAGCCAGAAGUAGCGUGGGCCCCAGGAACAGGUAAUUAUGAAACCGGGGAUGGGGGAGGCAAUGGGGCAGCGGCGGUCUCUGGGCGUGAUUAUCGUGAAUAUCGGCCGACAAUAUCGGCCAAACCGAUAAUCGGUCUAUCCCUAGUCUCCAGUCUUCGCUUUGCAAGUGCUUUUGAGCCUUGGUCAGCAACAUCUUUUUAGGUAUCCUUUAAACAAUAUAGGGGGUUUUGGGAUUCUUAAACAUUGCAAUAGUGGAGAUCAAUAAUAAGGCAUAUUGCUGUCAUAUUAAUUUGGUAACCGCCUUCCUGAAAGAAAUAUAUAUAUAUAAUUUGCACCUGCUAUCUAUUCAGGGAUCUUUUAUUCAAUGCACUUUGUUGUAUUUGACAUUUAUGUAGAUAUUUAAGCCUACUGUUAUCAUACAAAGGCAGAGAAUAAAGACUUCUCAUUCAAGCUGCUAUUUUUAUGAAUUUUGGGUGAGAUAAAAUAGCCCAGUCACCCAUUUAAACUGGACUCUAGUUUGAUGUCUAAAAUGUUUCCAUAGAUUUGUAUGAUGGUUUUCACUAUAGCAAUAUUAUGGAAUCAUGCAGAAGCCAAGAGGGUUGGGAUCAUAUCCAUCUAAUAAUAUACAUACAGCUCCUGUAUUGUGUGCUAUUGUGAAACAGCCCUCUUCACGCUUAAGACAAAUUUAUGUCCUUUUUUAAAUGGUUGACUUUGCGAUUUAAUUUUAUUUUAUUUUCUGUAAAAGUUUUUUUUUUUCUUUUUUUAAUGCUUUUCUACUCUCUUACAUAAACUGCACUGUAGCAUUGCUUAAAAAAAACCUAAGCGUCAGUUCCGCUAUACAGAAUGGCUGUACACAGCUAGGGCAUAUCUGUUUACUAGAUAAUUGUGUAUUGUAUUGUACCACUACAUUGUACGUUGUUUCACAUAACAUUCAGAGUUUGUAUUGAUGGUGCUUGCUAGAGAUGAGCGAAGUUACAGUGAUUUGAUUCGUCACGAACUUCUCAGCCCGGCGGUUGCUUACUUUAGCCUGCAUAAAUUAGUUCAGCUUUCAGGUGCUCCGGUGGGCUGGAGACUCUCUCGUAGGACUGUAUCCACCUUUUCCAGCUCACCGGAGCACCUGAAAGCUGAACUCAUUUAUGCAGGCUAAAGUCAGCAACCGCCGAUCCAAGAAGUUUGUGACGAAUCGAAUCACUGUAACUUCGCUCAUUUCUAGUGCUUGCUUCUGACUAGUAGAAAUAAGCCAUAAUUCUGCAUAACUUAAGGCCACAGUUUGAGACCACUGCUUUAGUCCAUGGUGUUCAGGUCCCCUGUGCCAUACCGCUCGUGUUUUUAUUUAUUUAUUCUGGUCUUUUGGUGUACACAACCAACCUUGUAAAUAAACUUUAUUUUCUGUCACAUAA